CCCUUAGAUGUCCUGGGCCGCACGCGCGCUACACUGAUGCAUUCAACGAGUAUUUCCUUGGCCGAGAGGCCUGGGCAAUCUUUUAAACCUGCAUCGUGAUAGGGAUAGAUUAUUGCAAUUAUUAAUCUUGAACGAGGAAUUCCUAGUAAACGCAAAUCAUCAAUUUGCAUUGAUUACGUCCCUGCCCUUUGUACACACCGCCCGUCGCACCUACCGAUUGAAUGGUCCGGUGAAAUCUCGGGAUUGUGGCCAGUUCACUUUAUUGGGAGUUGGCUGCGAGAACUUGUCUAAACCUUAUCAUUUAGAGGAAGGUGAAGUCGUAACA
rnacentral:rRNA from 1 species